rnacentral:rRNA from 1 species
ACGUAUAUUCCUACAACAUAGAAUUAAUGCACUGAAUCUCAUUAGAUCUUCAUAGUCAAACCCGCUUGAGAUAGAGUAGUACUGGGAUGGGUGACCACAUGUGAAUUACUAGUAUUUUACAUG